UACAGAGGGGGCAAGCGUUAUUCGGAAUUUAUUGGGCGUAAAAGGGCGCGUAGGCGGCCUGACAAGUGGAAGGUGAAAUCCCUCGGCUCCAACUGAGGAACUGCCCUCAAACUGAUUGGCUUGAGACCGGGAGAGGUGAGGUGGAAGUUCCCAGUGUAGCGGUGAAAAUGCGUAGAUAUUGGGAGGAACACCAGUGGCGAAGGCGGACUCACUGGACCGGAACUGGACGCUGAGGCGCGAAAGCGUGGGGAGCGAACGAGGA
rnacentral:rRNA from 1 species